rnacentral:rRNA from 1 species
CCUACGGGAGGCAGCAGUGAGGAAUAUUGGUCAAUGGACGAGAGUCUGAACCAGCCAAGUAGCGUGAAGGAUGACUGCCCUAUGGGUUGUAAACUUCUUUUAUAUGGGAAUAAAAUGUUCCACGUGUGGGAUUUUGUAUGUACCAUAUGAAUAAGGAUCGGCUAACUCCGUGCCAGCAGCCGCGGUAAUACGGAGGAUCCGAGCGUUAUCCGGAUUUAUUGGGUUUAAAGGGAGCGUAGGUGGCUUGUUAAGUCAGUUGUGAAAGUUUGCGGCUCAACCGUAAAAUUGCAGUUGAAACUGACAGGCUUGAGUACAGUAGAGGUGGGCGGAAUUCGUGGUGUAGCGGUGAAAUGCUUAGAUAUCACGAAGAACUCCGAUUGCGAAGGCAGCUCACUGGACUGCAACUGACACUGAGGCUCGAAAGUGUGGGUAUCAAACAGGAUUAGAUACCCGGGUAGUC